rnacentral:lncRNA from 1 species
AUACAAUGAGUGUUCCUCCAUGCACCUCACCUCCUUCUUCCUGCACCUCCAAAUUUACCCAUUUGUGCUUUGUUUUAUAAAGUCAAAGCAUAAUUAAUGAAUAUUUAAUUAUGUCCUAACCACUAACAAUGUUCCUAACUACCAACUACCUUGUCUGAGUAUAAACCCCGCACCCUCUUCGUGGUUCCCAGCACUCACACAAGCACCCCCUUGGUGGUUCCCAACACUCAAACUACUAUUUCCUUCAUUACUGUUUGAUUACACUAGCAUUUCCUUCAUUUCACUAGUUGAGAGGGUAUACUAGUGGUGAUUUGUGGUGGUGGUGAUACUUGCUGGUGGGAGGAGGAAGAAGAAGAGAGAGCUCGGUCCAGGUUAGAUUUUUAAUAAACGAGUUAAUCGCCGUUCGUGGUGCGGUUAAUCAAUGCCGCCGUUUGAACGACGUUUGUUCAUUGCCACCCUUCGUGUUGCGGCUUCCCCCAACCGCACUUCGUGUUGCGGUUUAUUGGGGUCGCACUUCGUGUUGCGAUUUAUUGCGUUUCUGUUGUGCACUUGAUUUUAAUAUAUAUUUUUAUACGUAUUAUGUUGUAUGUUGUGUAUUACGACGUUCCCUUUAUUGGUAAUUAGUUUGCA